CAUUAGAUGGCUGAAAAGUAAGCACUGGUCUCUUAAACCAUAUUAUAGUAAUUAACAAAUACUUCUAAUGGAACCCCCCCC
rnacentral:tRNA from 1 species